GGUGGGUGUUGGGCAGAACCCCUAGGUCCUGGAGAACGGGUAACGGAGGACAUCAGGUGGGUGUUGGGCAGAACCCCUAGGUCCUGGAGAACGGGUAACGGAGGACAUCAGGUGGAUCUGGGUGUUGGGCAGAACCCCUAGGUCCUGGAGAACAUCAGUUGGGUCUGGGUGUUGGGCAGAACCCCUAGGUCCUGGAGAACAUCAGUUGGGUCUGGGUGUUGGGCAGAACCCCCUAGGUCCUGGAGAACAUCAGUUGGGUCUGGGUGUUGGGCAGUACCCCUAGGUCCUGGAGAACAUCAGUUGGGUCUGGGUGUUGGGCAGAACCCCCUAGGUCCUGGAGAACAUCAGUUGGGUCUGGGUGUUGGGCAGUACCCCUAGGUCCUGGAGAACAUCAGUUGGGUCUGGGUGUUGGGCAGAACCCCUAGGUCCUGGAGAACAUCAGUUGGGUCUGGGUGUUGGGCAGAACCCCUAGGUCCUGGAGAACAUCAGUUGGGUCUGGGUGUUGGGCAGAACCCCCUAGGUCCUGGAGAACAUCAGUUGGAUCUGGGUGUUGGGCAGUACCCCUAGGUCCUGGAGAACAUCAGUUGGGUCUGGGUGUUGGGCAGUACCCCUAGGUCCUGGAGAACAUCAGUUGGGUCUGGGUGUUGGGCAGAACCCCUAGGUCCUGGAGAACAUCAGUUGGAUCUGGGUGUUACAUGUAAGGAAAGGAAUCUGCUAGUCCGUAGUGAGUAAUCGCAGUCCUGUUUUCCAGAAGUUAUUUUAGGUCAUAGGAGAUGGUAGCGGCAACAUUAUGUACAAAACAAGUUUAAAAAAAAUACAUUUCAAACAACGCAAAUAAACAAUCAACUGGGGGCAUGUAAAACGUCUGCCAUCUUCUUCGGGGCCAUCUUACAGUAACUUUUUGUUCAGCACUUUUGAAAUGUACAGCGACAGAAUUCAGAACAUGGGCCUUUUUUACAGUAUUCUCUCUGUACACAGUCAGAACCGUAGGAUUAAUAAAGGGGCAUAAAAGCAGACAUUUAAAGCUCUUACAAUAUUCAAUAAUUACAUUUCUCUAUAACAGGCUAUAGAGUUAUGUUCUGACAUGUGCACCACAAGUUACACAAUUUACGCAGCAGCAUACAAGAUAUUUUUGGAUUCAUUCAUUUUGUCAUCAAAGUCCGGCAUUCUCUGGAUUUAUGGUGCUUUCAAGACAACUGGGAACUCGGCAAAAAACAAGGUUAAAUGAUGUCAGUGAUCUUCAGAUCGGAGCUCUGGAAAGAGGCCUGAGUUCCCGACAAGGUUAAAUGAUGUCAGUGAUCUUCAGAUCGGAGCUCUAGAAAGAGGCCUGAGUUCCCGACAUGGUUAAAUGAUGUCAGUGAUCUUCAGAUCGGAGCUCUAGAAAGAGGCCUGAGUUCCCGACAUGGUUAAAUGAUGUCAGUGAUCUUCAGAUCGGAGCUCUAGAAAGAGGCCUGAGUUCCCGACAUGGUUAAAUGAUGUCAGUGAUCUUCAGAUCGGAGCUCUAGAAAGAGGCCUGAGUUCCCGACUUCCGAGUUAUAUGACCAUUUGAAAGGUAUUUUCCCAGUUCCGAGUUUCCUGUUGUUUUGAGCACGGCAGAAGUCAUGCUGGAUUGACAGCAUGGCCAAUGUUGAAUAUUUAUCUGUUUAAGCUUGGAAAAGAAACCAUUAAACCCAGACUUGGGACCACGCACCCACUCCACUGAAAAGCAGGCUAGUGAUUGCUUUGCAAUGCUUGGAGUUAGUCACUGAUUCCUUCCAAACCACUCAUUGUUGAAUAUGCGUUUGCAAUUUGUGUAAUGUUUAUGGCCGAUGAGCUCAAGUUUUAUCUAUAACUUCUCUUCAUAUGACAAGGAUUAAAAAGGAUUUCCCAGUA